UCUCCGUAGGUGAACCUGCGGAGGGAUCAUUACAGAGUUCAUGAUCUACCGGGUAGACCCUUCAGCCAAUGUUUUUAUUACUUUGUUGCCUUGCCCCGCCGUUCGGUACCGGCCCGACUACCGGCCCCGGCUGAUACGUGCCCGGCAGAGGAUCCAAAACCAUGUAUAGUAGUGUCGUCUGUGUACUUUAUAAUAGUUAAAACUUUCAACAACGGAUCUCUUGGUUCUG
rnacentral:misc_RNA from 1 species